AUCCCCGGUUCCCAUACGAUCACCGAAGUUAAGCAACGUCGAGCCUGGUCAGUACUUUGAUAGGUGACCGCACGGGAAUAUCAACUGUUGUAA